GCAGAGACUAGAGUCACAUCCUUACAUGGUUCUUGUCCAAGUGUGGGAGAGUUCUUGAAGAGAAUCUGCUGGUCUUGAUUCACUGGCAGGGCUCUUCGGUGCCCCUGUUAGUACCCAGAUCAAAAACAUGU